AUUGAACGCUGGCGGCAGGCCUAACACAUGCAAGUCGAGCGGAUGAAGGGAGCUUGCUCCUGGAUUCAGCGGCGGACGGGUGAGUAAUGACUAGGAAUCUGCCUGGUAGUGGGGGAUAACGUCCGGAAACGGGCGCUAAUACCGCAUACGUCCUGAGGGAGAAAGUGGGGGAUCUUCGGACCUCACGCUAUCAGAUGAGCCUAGGUCGGAUUAGCUAGUUGGUGGGGUAAAGGCCUACCAAGGCGACGAUCCGUAACUGGUCUGAGGGGAUGAUCAGUCACAGGGGAACUGAGCCGCGGUCCAGGCUCUUAGGGGAGGACGGAGUGGGGAAUUUUGGAAAAGGGGGGAAAGCUUGAUCCAGCCUGGGCGGGUGGGUGAAGAAGGUUUUCGGGUUGUAAAACCCUUUAAGUUGGGAGGAAGGGCAUGAAGUUAAACCAUGGCUGUUUGACGGUAACCAACAAAAAAACCCCGGCUAACUUCGGG
rnacentral:rRNA from 1 species